rnacentral:rRNA from 1 species
UACGUAGGGGGCAAGCGUUGUCCGGAUUUACUGGGCGUAAAGCGCGUGUAGGCGGCCACGCAGGUCCGUUGUGAAAACUAGAGGCUCAACCUCUAGACGUCGACGGAAACCGUGUGGCUAGAGUCCGGAAGAGGAGAGUGGAAUUCCUGGUGUAGCGGUGAAAUGCGCAGAUAUCAGGAAGAACACCAAUGGCGAAGGCAACUCUCUGGGACGGUACUGACGCUGAGACGCGAAAGCGUGGGGAGCGAACAGG